rnacentral:rRNA from 1 species
UACAUGGGGUGCAAACGUUGCUCGGAAUUAUUGGGCGUAAAGCGCACGUAGGUGGUCUGUUAUGUCAGAUGUGAAAGCCCUCGGCUUAACUGAGGAAGUGCACCUGAAACUGGCAGGCUUGAGUACGAAAGAGGGUCGCGGAAUUCCCGGUGUAGAGGUGAAAUUCGUAGAGAUCGGGAGGAAGGCCGGUGGCGAAGGCAGCUAACUAAGCGAUUAUUGACGCUGAGGCACGAAAGCGUGGGGAUCAAACAGG